CGACGUCCCGCACCGGAAGCGGCGGGGGCGACUCCGGGUCGGCCACGUCCUCCAGCGGGCCCCACAGCGGUUCGAUCUCGCCGGUGUCGC
rnacentral:tRNA from 1 species